ACUACUGUCUUUCAGUUUUUAUUUUGUAAUUUUGUUAGUUUGGAUGAAACUGUAAUAAUUUUGUUUUGGGUUAAUUGUGGUCUUCACGAGUAGUGCUCUGUUUGGUGUCGUUUUGAACAUCACAAGAGCCGCCUCCCUCCCCGCCGCUUCCAACGUCUCCUCUCCUUCUGAGGCCGACUGUGGAUGUUUCAUUUGGCUGUUUGUUUUGCAUGCUUCAUUUUUGCAAAGUAAAGGACAUAUGCAACACCUUCCACGAUUUUAGAACACUUGAAGGUGAGACCUAAGAAAUAAAAUAGCGGUAUGAAAAUUUGUGAUGGCAUAUUAAUUCCCUUUUUUGUGAACUGAUUUUAAAGCAUAUUUACCCAUUUAUUUUUUCAUAUUUUGUAUACAUUUGAUUUAUGAUAGUAUGAUAGAUUACGCAUAUACUUAACGUGUUUGCAUAAAUUUAAUGCCUUAAGCUUACAUCUUAACAAAUACCUAUGAAAUCUGUAGUAUUAUCUAAUUGAAUUGGUUAGUUUUGAUUUGCAUUUUGUUAAUUUAUAUAUUUGUAAUAGUCGACUGUGUUGAAAUUUUAGUGUAUCACUUUCUGUCAACACUCUGCUUCUUUUUCUUAUUAUAUUUUCUAUGUUUAAAUAGCAUGAACAUACUAAAAAUCUGUUAAUUACAAACUAUCCAUUACAAGUUUGUACUGCCUGUUUUCUUCUUUUACAUCCAGUAGUUUUAAGACCCGCAGCAACGCGUGGGCACUAUUGCUAGUAAUUACUAAAUUUGCUUUUGCUUUAAAACCCUAAAAGAAAAAACAAAAAAGGCCAAAUACCAAAUUCCAUCCCAAAUGUCUGAUUAUUAGCCCAAGUUUCCACAUGGCAUGAAGAUUGGCAAUUGGGCUCUAGCAACAAACUAGUAACGGUGCCCGCGCGUUGUUGCGGGUUUUAAAACUGUAUAAAACAUGCGAAAAGUUUUAAAUAGAUACGAUAUGCAAUACUAUUUUAGAUAUAUGUUGAAAUUUGUUUACAAUCAUAUGGACCGGCGGUUCUAUUGCCAUUGUUCUAGUAUUUACAUCUUUUACAAAUUUCAAAUCCUAAGUGUCCUUAACUGAAAAAAAAAGAUAAAAAGUGGUUCUAUUGCCAUUGUUCUAAUAUUCGUAUCUUUUACAAAUUUGAAGUCCUAAGAGUUCUUAAGUAAAAGAAAAGAUAAAAGUUUCUUUCUCACCGAAAUCUAUCAAUUUGAAUCAAAUCUUCCUAAAAAGUAUAGAUUGUAGCAUACCUUGUAAUUUUUGCAAGCUGGACACCUGCAAUAUUAAUAGUGACAUAAUUUAUUCCUAACCCAUCAGAAAAACCAAAAUUGAACAAACCUUCCUCCCCGCUCCUCUGACCAAAUAAAAGAAGUAACGUUUCUCUUUUGGAACCUCUAAUCACAUGAAACAGAACCAUACAAAACAGAAAUUUAAAAAAAAAAAAAUGAAACAUAUUAACUCUUGACAAAAACUUAUUACCCAAGAACGUAAAGUCACUGAAAACACAAAUUACCAA